AUUGAACGCUGGCGGCAGGCCUAACACAUGCAAGUCGAGCGGAUGAAGGGAGCUUGCUCCUGGAUUCAGCGGCGGACGGGUGAGUAAUGCCUAGGAAUCUGCCUGGUAGUGGGGGAUAACGACCGGAAACGGGCGCUAAUACCGCAUACGUCCUGAGGGAGAAAGUGGGGGAUCUUCGGACCUCACGCUAUCAGAUGAGCCUAGGUCGGAUUAGCUAGUUGGUGGGGUAAAGGCCUACCAAGGCGACGAUCCGUAACUGGUCUGAGAGGAUGAUCAGUCACACUGGAACUGAGACACGGUCCAGACUCCUACGGGAGGCAGCAGUGGGGAAUAUUGGACAAUGGGCGAAAGCCUGAUCCAGCCAUGCCGCGUGUGUGAAGAAGGUCUUCGGAUUGUAAAGCACUUUAAGUUGGGAGGAAGGGCAGUAAGUUAAUACCUUGCUGUUUUGACGUUACCAACAGAAUAAGCACCGGCUAACUUCGU
rnacentral:rRNA from 1 species